GAUGAACGCUGGCGGCGUGCCUAAUACAUGCAAGUCGAGCGAACAGACGAGGAGCUUGCUCCUCUGACGUUAGCGGCGGACGGGUGAGUAACGCGUGGAUAACCUACCUAUAAGACUGGGAUAACUUCGGGAAACCGGAGCUAAUACCGGAUAAUAUAUUGAACCGCAUGGUUCAAUAGUGAAAGGCGGUUUUGCUGUCACUUAUAGAUGGAUCCGCGCCGCAUUAGCUAGUUGGUAAGGUAACGGCUUACCAAGGCAACGAUGCGUAGCCGACCUGAGAGGGUGAUCGGCCACACUGGAACUGAGACACGGUCCAGACUCCUACGGGAGGCAGCAGUAGGGAAUCUUCCGCAAUGGGCGAAAGCCUGACGGAGCAACGCCGCGUGAGUGAUGAAGGUCUUCGGAUCGUAAAACUCUGUUAUUAGGGAAGAACAAAUGUGUAAGUAACUAUGCACGUCUUGACGGUACCUAAUCAGAAAGCCACGGCUAACUACGUG
rnacentral:rRNA from 1 species